GUCCAGACUCCUACGGGAGGCAGCAGCGGGGAAUAUUGCACAAUGGGGGAAACCCUGAUGCAGCGACGCCGCGUGAGCGAAGAAGUCUUUCGGUAUGUAAAGCUCUAUCAGCAGGGAAGAAAUUGACGGUACCUGAGUAAGAAGCUCCGGCUAAAUACGUGCCAGCAGCCGCGGUAAUACGUAUGGAGCAAGCGUUAUCCGGAUUUACUGGGUGUAAAGGGAGCGUAGGCGGCCUGCCAAGUCUGAUGUGAAAUACCGGGGCUCAACCCCGGGGCUGCAUUGGAAACUGGCAGGCUGGAGUGUCGGAGAGGCAGGCGGAAUUCCUAGUGUAGCGGUGAAAUGCGUAGAUAUUAGGAGGAACACCAGUGGCGAAGGCGGCCUGCUGGACGAUGACUGACGCUGAGGCUCGAAAGCGUGGGGAGCAAACAGGAUUAGAUGCCCCAGUAGC
rnacentral:rRNA from 1 species